rnacentral:lncRNA from 1 species
UUUUAGAAAGAAAGAAAAGAAAAUAAGCAUGCUAAGGUAAACAAGAUGGCUCCCCCAAAACAGAUGGGCCUCAAGGGUUCAUGAGGCCCAGUAGGGCGCAUAUCACCAAAAAAGAAAAGAAAAGGGUCGAGAAAAGGAAGCCCAAAUGGGCAUACUCCGGUUCGGGUUAGUCACAAAUCUAAACCGGAUCCAAGAAGUCCUUUCUCCUUCUACAAGGAAACACGUGGGGAAAUGGAGACAUUCCCCAAACCAGCCGUCACCUGGGAACUCGAACAAAAGAUAAUGCAGAGGGAGAAAGUAGCCGGCUUUGGGCUUUGGGAAAGGUAACGUCAUCAAUGGCCUUGAAGCCUUGAUGAGAUCCAAAUAAAACCAAACAGGCGGUGAGAAUAAUCACCUCCGCCUCAAAUUCACUCUCUCUCUGCUUGGGACAUUUGUCUCCUUCCUCACUCAAAACAAAAACAAACUCACAGAGGAACCUAAACCAUUAUUCCUAACCUAAAACCAAACUCAUCACCACCGGCAACGCAGAGGCAAGCAAUUAUCGCCAAGGCCAACGAACUCUUAGACAACAAAGGAACAACCCUAACCACCAAAGCAACAAGA